AGUGGAGCAAGAGUACAGAGGUGUGGUUUGUGAGAACAUUUGGCGAGAGCUACAGAGGCUGAACUAUUGCAGUGGACAGGACAAACAGUUCUCUCUUGUUUUCACCAUCGCCUCCUUUCUGUUCAGUUACCUGACGCUGCCCACUGGUUUCCUCUUAGACCAGUUUGGUACAACAGUGGCUCGGCUCUUUGGAACGCCUACUUAUCCCUGAAUCCCUCCUCAAGACACCCUCCACCAAUCCUACUCGGUGAUCCUAAGCUGCCUGGUAGGAUGUCUGGAAUCAGUCCCUCGAGUCACAUUUCUAAUUCCAGGCUCCUUCAUUACAAUUUUCCAUCCAUCCAUCAGAUGUUCUAAGUCCACACUUUUUCGAUCACCUGACUGCCCCACCCAUCUUCCCACCUGUUUCCACUUCCCUCAUCUGCCCUGCAGUUGCCUUGCUCUUCCCCGCCCACCCUCAUCAUCAACAUUGUUACGGCCACGGCCUUAUUUAUCUGCGGGGGAUUACUUUGUGGAUGCAUGCACCUUGUUUUCCCUAUUUAAGUAAGAUUUGGAUGUGUGACCGCCGCCCCUUGAUUGGCUGCGGCGACACCCCCU